CAAUUGGCAAAUCCCUAACACAGCAACUCAUUACCGACCUCUCUCCCACGCCUCUCCCCCUCACCUCUCAGCCUCGCGUUUCUCCCUCUCCACACGACGCAGAACUUCAGCUCAGCCCCUCUCAGUUUCUUCCUUGUGAGCAUGUCUCUCCCUCGUGUCAGCUUAGCCCCUCUCUUCCUCACGUGCACGGCCUCCUAGCACAGCCCCUCCCCUCAAGCACAGUGACGCCAUCGUUAGCCCCUCACACGCAGUCAUCUUUGGUGCCGCAGUCUACAGGUUUUUUUUUUUUUUUUAAAAUUUAUGCCAUGGCCCGUGUGUUUGUACAAAGUUUGUAUACUCCUUAGUUUCUGUAUUAGUCUUACUGUGUUAGACUGUUAGGGAUUGAUUUUGUGGACUGCUGAUGUAUAUAAUAUACUGGUUGGAGUUAAAAAUGGUGGGUAGAUGUGGCUUGUGAGUUGAUUUUGUGGACUUCAAAUUCUAUUUCUUCUUUCUCUGGUCAGCUUUCUCUCAAUUCUAGAUCUACCCAGUUCGC
rnacentral:lncRNA from 1 species